UAGGGAAUCUUCCACAAUGGACGCAAGUCUGAUGGAGCAACGCCGCGUGAGUGAAGAAGGGUUUCGGCUCGUAAAGCUCUGUUGUUAAAGAAGAACGUGGGUGAGAGUAACUGUUCACCCAGUGACGGUAUUUAACCAGAAAGCCACGGCUAACUACGUGCCAC
rnacentral:rRNA from 1 species